rnacentral:lncRNA from 1 species
CUUCAGACGAGAUGAGAGAUCGAGUAUGAGAGAGAAGAGAGAACAGAGAUAGAGAGAGAAAGGGAAAAGACCAACACCAGGCAAAAGAUGCAAAGGGUUUUGAUAUUCCAACACCUUCACCUAUUCUUUAUAUACAAGUAUAAAAUAUGAAGAGUUGUACAGGCAUAAAGUGUGACAAAAUCCAAUGAAAAUCAUACUAUAAGCU